rnacentral:rRNA from 1 species
GACGAACGCUGGCGGCGUGCUUAACACAUGCAAGUCGAACGCUGAAGCUCAGCUUUUGUUGGGUGGAUGAGUGGCGAACGGGUGAGUAACACGUGAGUAACCUGCCCCCUUCUUUGGGAUAACGCCCGGAAACGGGUGCUAAUACUGGAUAUUCACUGGUCUUCGCAUGGGGGUUGGUGGAAAGGGUUUUUCUGGUGGGGGAUGGGCUCGCGGCCUAUCAGCUUGUUGGUGGGGUGAUGGCCUACCAAGGCUUUGACGGGUAGCCGGCCUGAGAGGGUGACCGGUCACAUUGGGACUGAGAUACGGCCCAGACUCCUACGGGAGGCAGCAGUGGGGAAUAUUGCACAAUGGGCGCAAGCCUGAUGCAGCGACGCCGCGUGCGGGAUGACGGCCUUCGGGUUGUAAACCGCUUUCGCCUGUGACGAAGCGUGAGUGACGGUAAUGGGUAAAGAAGCACCGGCUAACUACGUG